AGUGAACGCUGGCGGUAGGCCUAACACAUGCAAGUCGAACGGCAGCACAGUAAGAGCUUGCUCUUACGGGUGGCGAGUGGCGGACGGGUGAGGAAUACAUCGGAAUCUACUCUGUCGUGGGGGAUAACGUAGGGAAACUUACGCUAAUACCGCAUACGACCUACGGGUGAAAGCAGGGGAUCUUCGGACCUUGCGCGAUUGAAUGAGCCGAUGUCGGAUUAGCUAGUUGGCGGGGUAAAGGCCCACCAAGGCGACGAUCCGUAGCUGGUCUGAGAGGAUGAUCAGCCACACUGGAACUGAGACACGGUCCAGACUCCUACGGGAGGCAGCAGUGGGGAAUAUUGGACAAUGGGCGCAAGCCUGAUCCAGCCAUACCGCGUGGGUGAAGAAGGCCUUCGGGUUGUAAAGCCCUUUUGUUGGGAAAGAAAUCCAGCUGGUUAAUACCCGGUUGGGAUGACGGUACCCAAAGAAUAAGCACCGGCUAACUUCGUGCCAGCAGCCGCGGUAAUACGAAGGGUGCAAGCGUUACUCGGAAUUACUGGGCGUAAAGCGUGCGUAGGUGGUCGUUUAAGUCCGUUGUGAAAGCCCUGGGCUCAACCUGGGAACUGCAGUGGAUACUGGGCGACUAGAGCGUGGUAGAGGGUAGCGGAAUUCCUGGUGUAGCAGUGAAAUGCGUAGAGAUCAGGAGGAACAUCCAUGGCGAAGGCAGCUACCUGGACCAACACUGACACUGAGGCACGAAAGCGUGGGGAGCAAACAGG
rnacentral:rRNA from 1 species